UGGGGGAUAUUGCACAAUGGGCGAAAGCCUGAUGCAGCGACGCCGCGUGGGGGAUGAAUGCUUUCGGGUUGUAAACCUCUUUCGCUAUCGAACAAGGCCCGCUUAGGGUGGGUUGAGGGUAGGUGGAGAAGAAGCGCGGGCUAACUACGUGCCAGCAGCCGCGGUAAUACGUAGGGCGCGAGCGUUGUCCGGAAUUAUUGGGCGUAAAGGGCUUGUAGGCGGCUUGUUGCGCCUGCUGUGAAAACGCGGGGCUUAACUUCGCGCGUGCAGUGGGUACGGGCAGGCUUGAGUGUGGUAGGGGUGACUGGAAUUCCAGGUGUAGCGGUGGAAUGCGCAGAUAUCUGGAGGAACACCGAUGGCGAAGGCAGGUCACUGGGCCAUUACUGACGCUGAGGAGCGAAAGCAUGGGUAGCGAACAGG
rnacentral:rRNA from 1 species